CUUGAACAGAAGCUCAUGUAGUCCUGAACAUAACUCUACGAGUCGUAGCCCUGGAGAAGAUAGGUCAGGAUGAACACGCCAUUCAAGCAAGGCUAAAGCCAUUUGCUAGGACUGCACCAGGGCUGUGUCAGAACAAAACACCUUUCUAGCAGGCUCACUGAGUGCUCCUGCCUUCCCGGAGAGUACUCUUCGGCAGAAUCACGCUAAGAGGAAAUAAGAGCGCCAAGAUGUGCACCAAUUGUGUCCUUUUAGUCCUGGAAUCCAAUAACCCUGGAUGUCUGAAAAACAAGUCAAUCGAUGGCAUCUUUUCUCUCCCAAACCUGAGAGAGGCUUCUAUCAGAGAGAGGAAAUAAAAUAGUAGUAAUAAAUAUCUACUCUAUAUAGUUGUAUAUGAAAGCAUUGGCUUAGAACCGAAUGGAGUCACGUUCUAGACGUGCCACUCAAGAACUGUGCAAGUUCAGCCUAUUCAGCAAAUCUCUUUGGCUUGGUAUCUUCAUCUUCAAUAUGAAAACAAAGGUUUGAAAAGAAUCAUCCAGAGUGAAGGGAGAAGUGGAUGAAUGAUAUCCAAACAAGGACUUGAGAUUCCAGGGUAAGUAAAAGAGGCACAACAGUUAGAGAUGUUCACAGCUAAGAGUUAAAUAGAUCCCAACUCAGAUGGUCUGUGACUCCAGAACUUGGACCACAUGAGAACUGCUAGAUUGAGACCAGCAUGGACUGUAUAAAGAGGUCUUGAAAUAAACGAAUAAAUGACAUUUCAGGUCUCAACUCAAUGUCACAGCCAUAAGGUGACUGCCUGCUACGGCAAGCAGCAAGCGAUCUGUUUCCUUUGUCACUCUCAGCAGAAAGAAAGAGUGUACUAUAGUCUAUCACCAAAAUUAAGGUUCCUUAGAUCUGUUCAAACCAACCUAAAACCUCACCUAUCCCCAGAAGUCUAUGGCCAAGGACUCUGUGAAAUGUCUGGUUUCUAUCAGCCAUCUGGGGUGAAAUGGAUGAAUUGGUUAAGAGAAUGGAUAAGAGAUAUUUUUCUUGGUAGAUUUUCUAAUGCCAGUUAUUAAAAGAGAAAGAACAUAUUUAUUCCCCCUAGUACAAUUAGGACCCCCACCCAAGACCGUCCCUGAAAUGUCACGUGUAAAUGUUUCAUAUUUCUUUGGAGGCAUGGCUGCAUUUCUUCCUGCUGAUGCAAGCUUCUCUCCAAGUUAAUCAUCCUCUUGUGCAGACAGGCUCGUGCUGAGUCAGCUCCGACAUGUAGAGGUUGAUUGCUUACCGCAGCUAUGGAAACUGCCUCGUUCAACCCCACAUAUAGACAAUAUGGAUGUAAGUCAGAUGACUUCAUAACUCUUUUUGAUAUAGAGUUCUUUCUAAUCAUAUAAAGCAAAUGUCUAUCCCUGCAUGCUGGAUGAAAACUCCCUGAUUGGGUGAAACAACCCUGGCUGGAGAGAAAGCAAAGGAGAAAUGGCUACAGCUCGCUACUGUCUGCCAUAGCUCUGAUGCCCCCGGCAUCACACUCAUGCAACUUGAGACACAAAUUUUAAAGCCAAUGAGAUUACUUACCUUGUUGCUGUCUCAGUUAACCACCUACCCUACAGUUUAACACCCAGUUUCUAAACUGUGGGUGACAAUCGCACUGAGGGUAGUAAAGUUAAAUGUGGAAGUCAUAAAAAUAUUGACAAUAGUAAGAGGUUUGUUACUACGCAAAGAGUAAAUAUUAACUCAAAAGCAAAUGCAUAGUGGAUCAGAUGUUUCUAGAAACUCUUGCCAGUGUUGCAUCCCAUCACUUUGCUUAUUGGUUCUGCAUGCACAGAUGUGCACUUUGCACUGUGCAUGCAAUGGAGCACCAACCACCAUAGCCGGAAAAAGACUGAUUCAUAUUCAAGACUAUUGUAGGCUAUGAACUGCAGUGGAUUUUUAAAAUUAUUUCCUUUAUUUUUAAGAUCCCAAUAUAUUUACAUUGUACACACACACACACACACACACACACACACACACACACACAAACAGGCAUUUCCCUUACCUCCUAUAUAUCCCUCCUUUCUCUCUUUCAAGGUCAUGGACUCUUUUCCCAUUAAUUGUUGAUAUAAAUCAACAGUAUAUUUAUAUGUCAUUGUCAUGGUUGGGGGUGGGUGAGAAGUAGAAUCACAAUGUUUUUAUUGGGCAAUUUCCACUCUUAGCUAUUGGUUUACUUAUAGAUGACAAAGACUUUUAUAGUUUCCCCCAUCAGUCCUCAGAAUGUAAGUAUGAAAUUAGUUUGCCUUUUGAAAUGCAUUGUUAAAACAUUUGUUUUUGAAAGUUGUUGAUUGAGUAGUAAUUUGGGUUGCAUAAAGUACAGUUCAUUGAAUUUUGGCUUGGAAAUGGGACAGAAUUUCUAACGAUUUCCAAAGUAGUCUUAAACACACUCCUACCAUUGUGAGCUGUGUACUUAUGUGAAACAAUGCUCUCAGCACUGGUAAUGUAAAAUCAAAAUGUCGAUCAAUUUAAUGAUGCUCUACAACCUACAGCUUCAAGCAAUCAGCCAAGAUUUAAUUCCUUUCGUAAGAAUAAACAAGCGAAUCCAUCUCAUUAGUAUGCAACGUUGCUUAAAUCUUUAACAAACAUCAAAAUUCCAUGUCUGUCAAGGAGUUGUUUUAAAAAUAAGUUUUUCAUGAUUUAUGACCAGUAGGGUCUGGUUUAUACACCUACUUUCUGUAAGUAAAUACGUGAGUUUCAUAAAAAUUUCUCACCUGCAAAGGGGCAUCUAGCAGGAAAAGUUUAUGAACUUGCCUAACAUGGUGAAACCCUGUCUAUUGUCUAUCUUUACGCUCAUUUAUAUACUUACCUUCUUAAUUGCUGCUCUCCCUGAAAAUGUAUAUCUAAUACAAGCAAUAUGAUACCGAUUGCUAUAAUACCUAAUAUUGCGUGACACUUUUCUUCGGGAACUACUAACUUUGAGACGAGAAAGGUUUCCUCUCAGAGGAGACGACUGAGUCCAUUCAUCAGCACUUGAGUUGAAAACAAUCUAUUCUCUAAAAUGAAAGCAAACAGGCUUACACAUUUUUAAGCAUGACAGGACCCGGCUUUACCAAGAGAAUCCGUGCAUCGUCAUCCUAUUAGCAGCAGGAAAUGACAGUAAGCACCAAGGAAGCAGAGUAUUUUAAUUUUCAAAAGACAAGAAUUUUUCUGGGAAAAUGUUGUUAUUCAGCCUACCUCAAUCAAAGGAAGAGGACAGAAAGGUUUUAAAGCCACACAUGUAUUAAAAGAAGAGGAGGAAACACUCUACUGCUAGCUUGUAGGUAACUCCACAUGCAAUAUUUUUAUUUUUAUCGAUGUGGUUUCAUAGAUAGAUGAAUCAAACACAUAGAAAAUAAAACAUUCUUAUUAAACUAAUUCUGAACUUCCACCAGGAACGGAGAAGGCUUAGGAGACUUGGGCGUUAUCAUCAAAUAAGGAAGACAGAUUACGCUAAAUAGAAACCACCUAUCUGUCUGGGAGUGUGGGCUCAUGUGAGGUAUGGAAAAAUCACAGCAAGAUACAGAGAUACAUGGACAGGUAAAGGCCCAUCACAAAUGCUAUCUAGUAAAUGUUAUUGGGAAAUAAUACAUAACACAUGGUAUAUACAUAAAUGUUUAAAUAUCCCCCAGCAAAUUUCAGAAGAUAAGAGUAGAAGACAAAACACAGGGGGCUGGGGUGGGAAUGGAUGAAGGUCUUGGUAGGUACAUGAGUACCUACGUCCAAUGGGCAAGACAUUGCAGUGAGCAUCAGUAAUCUCAGAGCUAGUACGACGAGGACAGAAGAAACCCUGGGGCUAGCUGCCAUUCACAAAGAUAAUCGGUCUUAAAAAACAAUACUGGAACCUAGUCUAAGUGGAGAGGAAGGUUAACAAAGAGGGCCAGAGAGUAAGCAGAGAUAAAUAAUACUAUCAGUGUUUGAAAAAAAGUCACAGAGAAACAUUAUUUUAUAAAGCUUAACUUAAAAUAUAUACAUAGUAUAUGUGUGCAUAUAUAUAAUUUUUAAUUAUAUAAUAUAUAUUAAGUAGAGUUAUACCACAUUGAAUGAUAACGUUUUCCUCAAGAGCUAAAGACUACCUAACAAAAAGCCCAAUGCCAGGCAUGGGAAACCUCCCUUCAUAUUGUUGGUCAAGGCAUCCAAGAGACUCACAAAAUAAUACAAACUGUUUUGCCAUUGCCCUUGCCUCCCAGAACUCAAAAGUAAGACCUAAUUUCUAAAGAACACACACACACAUACACACACACACACACACACACACACACACACACACACACACACACACACACCUGAGACCCAGGACUUAGAAGAAUGUAGCUGAAAAUGAUCUAGAAAACAGCUCUAUGAGGAGUCAUACAAUGUCUGUGGUGGUUUGAAUAUGCUUGGUCCUAUAGAAGGUGUGGCCUUAUUGGAGUAGGUCUGUCCAUGUUGGAGAAUAUAUAUCCUGUGGGCAUGGGCUUUAAGACCCUCCUCCUAGCUACCCAGGAGGCAGUCUCCUCCUGGCUGACUCAGAUCAAGAUGCAGAACUCUCACCAUCUUCUCCAGCACCAUGCCUGCCAUGUUUUCCGCCAUGAUGGUAAUGGACUAAACCUCUGAAACUGUAAACCAGGCCCAACUAAAUGUUGUCCUUUAUAAAAGUUGCCUUGGUCAUGAUGUCUGUUCUCGGCAAUGAAACCCUAGCUAAGACAGUGUCCACAGGACAAGCUUCCAAGGAAGAAGAGUAGUCUGAAGUCCUACCCAGCUGCAACGCUUACAAACCAUAACAGUGACUGGCCUGGCAAGCUAUUCUUAACUGUGCAAUAGUGACUUGAAAUUAGGGAUGGUGAUACCCUCAGAAGUUCUUUCAUUGUAUAGAAUUCUUUUAGCUAUCCUGAAUUUUUUGUUUUUCCAUAUGAUGUUGAGUACUGUUCUUUCAAGGUCUGUAAUGAAUUGUGUUAGAAUUUUGGUGGAAAUUGCAUUUGGUAGAAUGGUCAUUUUUACUAUGUCGAUCCAUGACCAUGGGAGAUCUUUGCAUUUUCUGAUAUCUUCUUCAAUUUCUUCCUUCAAAGACCUGAAGUUUUUAUAGUAAACAAGCCUUUCACCUGCUUGGUUAGAGUUACCUAAAGAUAUUUCUUCUUUUAGUAUAUUGUGGAAGGCAUGUGAAAGUAUAUUGUAGCCUUUAUAUAUUGGGCACAAUCAACAGAUGUCUAACUGGAUAUAAAACCUGCUCAAGAGGAGGGGACUCAUGUCUGAUACUGUUAAUCCAGCCAACUGUAAAUGGCUGGAGAAGCAUAGACCCUAGAGGGCAUAUACUGCCAUUUUCCUAAGAUAGUAUACCUUCUAACUGUAUUCUAAAUAUCUAUCCCUAUACCCAUCUUAAGUACAGCUCAACUCCCACAUCAAAGAAGCCUCAUUCUGUAACAGAUGAAGAAAAUUACAGAGAUUUGAUCAAAUGUAGAGAAUAAGUAGUCAUGGAAUGCCGUACAUUUACAACGUAACCCCUACAUAUAAGGGCUCCUGGAGCAUUUUGAAAGAGAGGCAUGGAAAGAUUCUGAGGACCAGGUUGUUUGCUUCAAGAUAGUGUCUUCUAAACGGGACAGGAAACCACACCCGUGAAAUCUCAACACUAUAGUUGUCUGCACAGGCCUGUAAUAAAAUCGUCACUUAAUAAACCAACAUAGAUAGGGACAUUUCACAAGGCCCUACAACUAGAUGAAAAGCUUCUGGCAAUCACUGGAGAGAGAGAGAGAGAAAGGAUCAAUCUUCUCCUGGUUUGAGACACUUGAUAGGUGUCCAAUGCCAAGUGAUAAGUCCCCAAAUACAUGUACAUGUGAACAACACUAAAUGGACUCAGUAGGGUACAUAUCACACACACACACAUACAUACACACAUACACACACACAUGCAUACACACAUGCAUACACACACACAUGCAUACACACAUACACACACAUACACAAAUGCAUAUACACACACACAUACACAAAUGCAUAUACACACACACACGCACACACACACAUACACACCCACACAUACACACACACACGAAAGAAGAUUAGACAAUGAUGUUAAGAGAAAAUGGGAGACAUGGGAAGAGUUGGAGGGCUAGAAAUGGUGUAAAUAUAAUAUUACAUGUGAGAUUCUCAAAAUUGUUAAAUGAAAAGUAAGGUGGAGAAACUGAGGAAGAUAGUUGACAUCGUCACCUCUCUCUCUCUCUUUAUUUCUCUCUCUUUUACUCUCUCAUAUACAUACAGAAAAUAUGAUCCUGGAUUUUAUGAUAAAAUCUAGCCGGAGCAGCUAAGAGUACCUAGUCCUUAACCAAAUUUGCACCAGGAGAUGGUUCACUGUUUAAACACAGUCUUUGUACAUGCCAUGGUCUCACCAUGCAGAUACUACUUCAAGGCACCUUUACUGGCCUUUUCUUCCUGGAGGGUGCUGGAACCCCUUCGUAUCCCUGGGUACCAGAGCAUCCCUGGGUGAAAUAGUCAAUGUGUGCGUGUUUCCCCCAGAGCUCACUGGAUGGUGUUGCUUGAUCAAGUUGCUUCAAGAGAUGCUAUUGACAUUGUUCACAACUAAGCACUGACUUGCUCCCUUAAACCUUUUCAGCUUAGACAAUGUCACUCGCCAGGCUGGGCAGUCUGUGAGAGCAAAGAGCCCAUCUUGUGAGGCCACAAAUGUCCUUCCUGUUUAUGGCACCCCCACACUGUUCAGAACCCACCCUGUCGCUGGAGUCCUAUGCUCCCCAAUGCUCAUGGGCUGCAGCAGCCUUGGCUGCAGGUCCUGGAGGAGUCCACAAGCACUGCCCGCCCACGGGAUGCUCUGCCAGGGAGGGAAGCUCAGAGAAUGCAGUGUUUCCCGCCCGCAGCAGCCUCCACGCAGGAACAGAGACUGCAGCCAACCAGGGCAUCACACAAAGAACUGCAGUGAUAUCCCCGCAUCUGGGCUUCCCUCAUUAGCAUAUUAAAGCAGCUUGGUCGGUCCCUUCCCUCUAAGCCCUCUCUGUCUCGGCAGUCCACUCCUUUUAGGCCUUCCCUCAGUGGGAGACCCGCUGGGUUCAAGAGGUACUAACCCCUUCCUGAAGCCUGUCAAACCCUCCUGGGCAAACCCAGAGGUGCUGCCAAGGCGCCAGCUCUGAGAGCAGACAGUGUACCGUAUGCCGAGUGCCACAUGAAAGACUCCAGGAGAGGCUUUUCUUUUAAAGAGGGAGAGAAGAUGUAUUUGCUUGAAGAGAUGCUAACAGUAAACAACUACCAUAAACAGGCCAGUGCUGUAUAUGUAAGUAGGUGGUUUCCCUUUGGACUGACUGACAAGGCUGAGGCAAGCCAAGGGGGCCGACUUAUGGCUGUGUGAGCUGAAGGGUCGGGUCAGCAUGUGGCACAGCCUUAGUGACAGAGCAGAGCCACAGGAACACAGGCUCUCCUUUUAAUUCUGUGACCAGGCUAACCACUGCCGAGUGCUUGGCAGCUCGCCCAGUCCUCUCCCUGGUCUUAUUUCAUUUUAAAACCCCAUGCAUCCAAUGGGAAAUGAGCCAGGAUUCUUUUAACUGGUUUACCACUGAGAAAAUUGAAGCCCCCACAAGUUGUCACUUGUCUGAGGGAAAAGAUAUCUCCUCUCAGGGGGACACACUGGUCCAGGCACCAAACUUCAAGUGACCACACACAAUCCCUUCUCUCUCCCAUUCCCAAGUUUAAAACAGGAUCCCCUUAUUGAAAUCUAUGAGCACCCCCACACACACACACUUCAUACCUGAAUUCACUGGUUUGACUUGGGUAAAUUCUAUUUCUAGGUUAACCCUUUCCAGGCAGAUUAAAAUAACAAUGCUUUCCUUAGACCUACCACCAUACACACACACACACACACACACACACACAGAGAGAGAGAGAGAGAGAGAGAGAGAGAGAGAGAGAGCGCAUAUCCUGGCUACAGAUGUUACAUUUACAAUAUAACACUUCAGUAUGUUUUCUUUCUCCCGCUUCUCUCUGUACAAACAUCCUACACCCUUCCCCCCGCACCUGACACCUUCCAUUCACAACUGAAAUCUUUGCCUUGUUCUCUAGCAGAGAAGCCACCUGACAGAAGUUGACUUUCAGUCCCACUGCUGAAUCUAUCAAAUGGGCUUUUCCUGUGCAUGUGCUCCCCACCACACACGUGCACCACGAAGAGUGCUCCCUCUCCUCAGGCCUAGUCCUGCCCCAGGCCUCCUCAAGACUCUUCUCAGCCUUCAGCCCUCUCCUUACUGCCCAGACACCUCCCUUCUCCAGCAGCCAUUGCCCCAAGCAUAGGGACCUGGAAUUACAUAGUAGCUUUCCUUUCAAAGGCGAAACUUCUCAACAGUACUAUUCCGUCACCUCUACCUAGCCUUUUCAACCAAGUUUUCUGCCAGCACUGGUCAUUUGCUCCUGCACCGUCACACGCCUUCUGUGGUGCCAAACUGUUGGUCACGUCUCUGUCAGCUCCUUUAAGGGCUAAUGAACGCCCUACUGCCCCUCUCUGGGAUUGCCUUCUCUGAGCAUCAAGAUACUCUAGUCCCCUGGUCCACUUCUUUGAACUCUUCCUCCCUCCUUGGCUGGCUCCUCCUCCCUCCCUCCUUGGCUGGCUCCUCCUCCUUGGCUGGCUCCUCCUCCGUGGCUGGCUCCUCCUCCUUGGCUGGCUCCUCCUCCUCCUCGGUUGGUGUGCUCUCUAGACCACUCUUAGGACGCCUCUCUACCUGUUUCUCCAUGUUGUCUUGAGGCAGAUGGAUGCGCACAUUCAAAAUUCCAAGCAUUCAUUUCUGCCCAGAAUUUCAGCUUUCACUUGGCAUCUCCACGAGACAUCUCAAACUUAAACUUGGAAGACGUUAACUCCGGUUUCCUAUCCACGAAUGUAUUCCUCCACCUGUCUUUCUCUGCUGUCAAGAUGGCACUAACCCCACUGAAUUGUUUAAGUCCCCAACACUGUGAAUUUUUAUGUAUUCCUUUCCCUCAGCUAUCCUGUAAAAUCAUCCAGCCAACCCAAAGGCUGCACCACCUGAAGCAAAUCAUUCCAACAUUGUCCAUGUUUCCCCAUCUCCGUCACUCCUGCCCAUUUCCGUUCCCAACACCAUAGGCCUCCCCUGCGACCCUCUCUUCAACAGCAGCCUGCAUGACCCUUUCCAACUCACUGUUUAACAUCUUUCACUUGUUCUCCAUCACACUUAAAAAUGGCAUCGCCUGGGGCUGGGGAUUUAGCUCAGUGGUAGAGCGCUUACCUAGGAAGCGCAAGGCCCUGGGUUCGGUCCCCAGCUCCGAAAAAAAGAACCAAAAAAAAAAAAAAAAAAAAAAGGCAUCGCCUAUUUCUCCAGCCUUUCUUCUUACUGGCCUCUGAUUCUUGCAUUCCAGUUUUCCUUUUAGUUCGUUAUGCUUGUUUAUUUCAUCAAAGCUACCUAGGAUGUUCUUCCUUCUAUGCCUCUAGUUAAUGGUUCCUUAGGUCACUCUGAUUAGGGUCAUGUUACUAGAGUGAGACCUUUUUGGCCCAUCCAUUUAAAGUUGCAUUACCACUCUCUCAUGACAGCCUACCUUAGUUCUAUACUUAAUAUUAGCAAUCCAGGGUAUCAUUCAGAUGUGCUUGCUUACUUUCUGUGCUCAUCCACCAGAAUUUAGCCUCCCCAAGCAUACAGUCCUUUGCUGCCUUGUUCCCUGACAAUCAUGCCUCUCGGUUGAUUGAGUAAUUACUUGCUGAAUGGCUGACUGGCACCUACUCUGUGCAUCUCAGAAUUUAAGAUCAAAGGGUAUCAAUGAUCAAUGAUCAAGACAUGGGCCCCAGGUAACCCGGACCCACCUUCUGCUAUUUAGACCCAAGACCUUUUCUCCUCUACUCUAAGAUCCCCGAAAGGCGGUACUCUCCACUUAGCCCAUUCUACAGAAAUGAGCUGCUUCUCUCUAUUUCUCACUUCUAGAUGGUUUCCAGGGUAUGAGGAGGCUUUCAGGCAGGAGUCUCAACUGUUCUCCAAGUCGUUCAUCUAAGGUCUUGGUCUGGACCAAUUGAAAGUUCACCCUACCACCCACAUGUCUGCCUUUGUGACAAUAUAGUAAAGCUAAGCAACCUAAGGAAAACAGAUUUGGUUUUGAUUGUGGUUUCAGGAGCUGCACAAUACCAUCCUGGGGUGGUGCAUUAUGGUGGGGGUCAAUGCAAAGGAGGCAGGAGGAAAACAAAGAGAAAGGGAGAAAGGAAACACCUCAUGCAAAGACCUAGCCUUCUUCCACUCUGUCCCACCCAUCUACCAAUGUCCAUUAUCCCCAAAGGCGAAUGAACAAACCUUUAGCACAUGGACUCUGGGGAACAUUUAAGAGUCUGACAUAAUACUCCACAUAACCAGCUAGGUCUGUGCAGAUUCACAGGGUCAGGACUGGUGCACACCUGAUGAGCCCAACGUGGGAAUGCCUCCACUCUUGACUAGAUGUACCUCUGGAAACCAGACUCCCUGUUACUCCCACUUAGAUAACCAGCAGAGACCUAUACUUUUCAGACUUUCUCUUGUGAAAUUAAACUUGUUAACAACUCAUUGCAGGCAAAAUAUUUGUAAAGUACAAUACACAUUAUCAUAAGAGAGAUGAAAUGCAAAAAAACCCACAAAAAUAAAUACAAGACACAGUUUCUGAAAUUUUUAGAACAGAUGUGUUUUAUCAAAAGCAGUAUUUCUAUGUGCUUUCCUCUUAAGUUCUGUUCUUGCCAAAGUGUAGGGCCAAGCAUUAUUCUACAGACAAUGCUCUGCAUAGCUGGUGAUAUUCUGACUGCCUUUCUAGCUCACUGAGCAUCUUAGACUCCUUCAUCCCCAGGGAGCAAAUCUCUCCCCUGUAAUAGCUUUUCAAAUCAAGUUUGAGCAAGUAAAUACUGAACAUUCAGUAAGGUCCAGCCAUGUCGCAUUUCUUCCUUAUCAGCUCCCUCACCCUGGUCCAGAGGUGCCCCUUCUCUCUCCAUCCCUAUUGCCUCCACUCCAUGUAGAUGCCCAUCUCCUUCUCCAUAAAUAACUACAUCUGACUCCUACAUAAUCCCUAAUUCCAGUUCCUUUCCUGACCUCUGAUCUAGUAAUUCUACUCAGAAUUUCAUGCCACUGACCCUGUUUCUCUAUUCAAUAACAUAAUAAGAAUCAAUAGAAUAAUGUCUUACUACUAAUUCAUCACUUUAGGCUUUUUGUAUCUGUACCUCACCCCCCAACUCUAGUCCUAAUUCACUCCCACACCCUUCAUUCUUCUCAUCCUAUAAUGUCUUCUACUAGGAAACUUCAUUCAAACCUUUCCCCAACCCUUGACCCCACACACAACUCAUCCUUUGUCUCUUUCAUCUCAUUUCAUUUGUGGCUUUCUGUUCUUAGGAAAUGUCCCCACUUAUCCUUCAAUGCCAAGGGGAAACACCCACCUCGCUUGCUACCAGCUCUUCUGUGGUCUUACAAGGCACUUAGCAAGCUUACAGAGCAGUGCAUAAACUGGAUUGGUGGACGUGGAGGCAGGCUGUGUCCUGUGAAGCCUCAAUCAAUGAAAAUUCCCUGAGCUGGAUGUUGGGACAUUGACAUUUCUUACAAGAUACAAGAGAUGACUCUACAACUGGAGGAACUUGAAUGGAAACUAAAAUGUCUCAAGGUCCAGUCAUCUGUGAGAAUAAUGGCUGCUUCCAAAACACUCCAGGCAAAUGUCUAAAGUCAUGCCAAAGGAUGGCCAUCUUUGAAAACAGUGACCUACUAGCGAACAAAUGACUUCAAAGCUGCAGGGAAAAUUUGGCAACUUAAACACAGAGUGUGGAAGUGUAUUACUUCCUGCCUUACAGAUCUGAAGAGUUAAUAGAAGCAGACUUUUACUAUGAGCAAAUUAAGAGCCCAAAUCAAGAUCAUUUCCAAAAAUUAGAGAAUCAUAAAUUAGUGUAGGUAGUAUAGAAAAGCAAAUACAACUGUGUGUGCACACAUGUGGGUCUUUAUAAAUGUACAUGUUCAGGGGGGUAAGCAUGUACUCAUCAUGGAUCUGCAUGUAGAAGGCAGAGGACAAUUUUGGUACCAUCCACCACAUUUUUUGAAGUAGAUUCAUUCAUUGGCCUAGAACUCAAAAUUAGAGUAGACUGUCUGACCAUUAAGUCCAGCCAUUAAAUUGUCUUUGUCUCCACACUUUCAACUGUAUACUGCUAAUACAGUCUAUAAAUGAUCAUGUCUAGGGGUCUUGACCAGGUUCCUUUUCUCUGACAGUUAAAGAAUUAAUAGGCAGGAAAAGCCUGAAGUGCAACAGAUAGCAGCAGAGGAACAUCAAGAGCCACAGACAGGGGGCUGGGGAUUUAGCUCAGUGGUAGAGCGCUUACCUAGGAAGCGCAAGGCCCUGGGUUCGGUCCCCAGCUCCGAAAAAAAAGAACCAAAAAAAAAAAAAAAAAAAAAAAAAAAAAAAAAAAAGAGCCACAGACAGGAUCGGUAGUUGAAGAAAGGUGUUUACUGAAGGUGAGGAAGUACAUACACAGCAUGUGCACACAGUACACACACACACACACACACACACACACACACACACACACACACACCCUCUGUGAUGCAUGAGGGGACUCAGAAAGCAAAAAUCCAGUCUCUUCUUGAGGCCUAGGAGUUUUGAAGCCUCUGAAAAGUCUUCCUCCCCUAAUUUAGUGUUGGUCAGUUUGAAAACGGGUAAGACAGAUGCUUGGUCUACAACUGUUGUGUGAAAUGUCCUGCUCCAGCCAGUCCAUCAGCAGGAGCCCAGAUCAUGGGAGACAAAAGCCUGGGAGCUUUUGUCUCAAGUCAGGAGGUUCAGGAAGAAGCUGGUUGUCUUGGAAAUUUGCCAACUUUAUUGUCUAGUGAUGGCCCCUCUCCCUAUCUGUCUGCCUACCAUGGAGUCUGCGUAACUCCUGCUCUCUCACUAAUGCGCCAGGGUUUGUUUGUUCGUUUGUUACACGUGUCCUAGAAAUUGAACUCAGCGUCUAACCAAACGAAUCAUCUCCCCAGCCAUGAUUCUUAUGCCAGAGUUUACUUCAUUUUUGACUAAAGAACUUCCCAGCAUCUAAUUUGUAUAGAAGUAUUCACUGGAACUUUGAAGGUUUUGAGAUGAUCCUUUUGAAUACUCACUAACUCGUUCCACAGAACCGAAAAGGAGGUGUCCAUAUGUCGAAGACUGCUACUUAAAGAUGCUUCACAGCUGACAUGCAAAAUACAGGAGGCGUUUCUCGCAGUUUACUCCAGACAAAACCGGGGAGUUCCCACAUGAUAAGAGGGAGCCAGACAAUUUCUCUACUCCCCACUGCUUAAUCACUGGGUCAGACAAAGAAUCUGGCAAGUAGCCAUCCUCCUUGUCAGGGCCAUCGACAAGGGAAACCAGAGCCCCUCCUCCACUUCAGUCUGCUUAAGCACCUCUUUCCGCUGCCACAGAAAUUCCCUCAAGGAAACAAAAGUGUGAGGAAGAAGAAAAGGGAGAAAGGCAAGAGAGGAUAGGUAGAAGGGCAAAAACACAGAUAGGGGUGUGUCUUACCUAUGGGUGCUUGGUUCUUAUUGACCAUGAGGAUGACAGGAACAGUUAAUGACAACGUUUGGAGCCCGAUGUUCUUGUCUAUUCCGCUAACUCGGAGUAUUUAGAACUGAGAAAGGAUAGAAAAACCAGUGAAGAAAAUUGGCUAGGCAUUUAAAACGGGGUGCUUAAUUGGCUGUUACCGAGCCAUACUUCAGAAAAGUUUUCAGCUACUGCCUAAGGGCAAGGAUAAUUGAGACACGAGUUACUAAUAAUAUGCGCCUGUCGGCCAACACUGGCUUAGGAUUGAACUCACCUUACAAGAUAAGAGUUUUUGAAGAUUCAGUUACAGACACAUCAGGGCUGUUAACUUUAAGCAACAGAAAUUAUAUCGAUCUGAAGCAAAGAAGAGGAGAAGAUACCUAAUGAUUCAUUUUAGAGAUCUCAGGGAGGAUUUCAGAUAACCUCUCCCUCUGUCUCUGUCUGUCUCUGUCUGUCUCUGUCUGUCUCUGUCUGUGUCUGUCUUUGUCUGUCUCUGUAUCUCUGUUUGUCUCUCUGUCUGCCUCUAUAGAUAGAUAGAUAAUAGAUAGAUAGAUAGAUAGAUAAAUAGAUAGAUAAAUAGAUAGAUAUAGAUAUAGAUGUAGAUAUAGAUAUAGAUAUAGAUAUAGAUAUAGAUAUAGAUAUAGAUAUAGAUAUAGAUAUAGAUAUAGAUAUUCUGGAUUGACUGGAUAAGCUUCUGGCACAUCCAUGGGAAAAGUCUUUCUUUCAUAAAUUUGCCACAGGUUACACACUGCUACCUGAUUAGCUCAGGUAGUACCUGAGUCAUCAAGGCCCUUCAAAUAUCUCACUCCUGCCUAUUAAUUUCUUCACAAAAGACUCAAGCAAAACAUACACUCCUCAAAAACAAUGACUUUAUGAAAUUCAUAGGCAAAUGGAGGGAACUGGAAAACAUCAUCCUGAGUGAGGUAACCCAAUCACAGAAAAACACACAUGGUAUGCACUCAUUGAUAAGUGGCUAUUAGCCCAAAUGCUUGAAUUACCCUAGAUGCACAGAACAUAUGAAACUCAAGAAGAAUGACCAAAACGCGAAUGCUUCACUCCUUCUUUAAAAGGGGAACAAGAAUACCCUUGGCAAGGACUAGGUAGGCAAAGUUUAGAACAGAGGCAGAAGGAACACCCAUUCAGAGCCUGCUCCACAUGUGGCCCAUACAUAUACAGCCACCAAACUAGAUAAGAUGGAUGAAGCAAAGAAGUGCAGGCCGACAGGAACCGGAUGUAGAUCUCUCCCGAGAGACACAGCCAGAAUACAGCAAAUACAUAGGCGAAUGCCAGCAGCAAACCACUGAACUGAGAACGGGACCCCCGUUGAAGGAAUCAGAGAAAGGACUGGAAGAGCUUGAAGGGGCUCAAGACCCCAUAUGUACAACAAUGCCAAGUAACCAGAGCUUCCAGGGAUUAAGCCACUACCCAAAGACUAUACAUGGACUGACCCUGGACUCUGACCUCAUAGGUAGCAAUGAAUAGCCUAGUAAGAGAACCAGUGGAAGGGGAAGCCCUUGGUCCUGCCAAGACUGAACACCUAG